rnacentral:rRNA from 1 species
CAGCCGCAGAUAUCUGUGCUAAGGUAGCAUAAUCAUUUGUCUUUUAAUUAAAGACUAGAAUGAAAGGUCAAAUGAAUAAGAAAUUUUAACUUCAUAAUACAACUAAAUUAAAUUUAGCGUAAAAAUACACUAAUAUCAAUAAAAGACGACAAGACCCUGUCGAACUUCACUGAUGUUAAACCGGAACAGUCUUUUU